rnacentral:rRNA from 1 species
UACGUAGGGGGCUAGCGUUGUCCGGAAUCAUUGGGCGUAAAGAGCGUGUAGGCGGCUUGGUAGGUCCGCUGUGAAAACUCGAGGCUCAACCUCGAGAUGUCGGCGGAAACCACUUGGCUAGAGUCCGGAAGAGGAGAGUGGAAUUCCCGGUGUAGCGGUGAAAUGCGCAGAUAUCGGGAAGAACACCUAUGGCGAAGGCAGCUCUCUGGGACGGUACUGACGCUGAGACGCGAAAGCGUGGGGAGCGAACAGG